rnacentral:lncRNA from 1 species
AGCCAUUAACAAGCCUUCUUCAGGGGGGAUCCAGAUUUGCAGUCUGGUAAUAGAUGACACUAUUUUUGUUGGGUUGUUCAAUGCAUCAACUUUUGUUGGUUUUGGCCAAUUUGAUAGCAAAUCGUUAACCCAUCAAAUUUUGCCAAGUUAGAGGUGAUUGCCACCAAGAUGCCCUUGUUCUUCAAGACAUAUUUGAAGCUUUUAUCUCUUCCCCUAUGCUAUUCUCCUGAUAGGCCCAGAAAGAGGAAAUGUUGAGGUGAGGUGAUUAUGUUUCCAUGCCUGUGUUGG